CAGUCGCCGCGGUAAUACGAAGGGGGCUAGCGUUGUUCGGAAUUACUGGGCGUAAAGGGCUCGCAGGCGGUUUCUUAAGACUGAUGUGAAAGCCCCCGGCUCAACCGGGGAGGGUCAUUGGAAACUGGGAAACUUGAGUGCAGAAGAGGAGAGUGGAAUUCCACGUGUAGCGGUGAAAUGCGUAGAGAUGUGGAGGAACACCAGUGGCGAAGGCGACUCUCUGGUCUGUAACUGACGCUGAGGAGCGAAAGCGUGGGGAGCGAACAGGAUUAGAUACCCCAGUAGUCCCUGUCUCUUAUAC
rnacentral:rRNA from 1 species